GUCUCUAACGGCACACUAGUGUGCUGCGGCACUGUUCUAGACAACUUAACUCUCUCUGGGUGACCUGCCAGACUCCUGCUCCCAUUCAUCGGUGCAGUGGAUGUUCGUACUGAAGAGCCCAAGAAGAGGAAACAGGAACCUCAACGACCAAGAGCCCAGAGUGGGCAUUGGAGUUACAUUCACAAACUGGCAAGAACCAACGACUACUAAUGGCCUCACAUGCUGAAAUGACGACGUUUGGACUGGAUGGUCCACUCUCCAUGGUCCUGUCCACCAAGGUGGUGCAUGGUGUGAGGGGGCAGGAUGGCCAUGGGGGGCUCCUGGUCAACAGUGGGUCGUGCCUUUAGCAGCUGAGAGUGAGGGUGGAGCUGGCGGUGGGGCAAGAGCAGGAUACC